CGGGUGAGUAACACGUGAGCAACCUGCCUUUCAGUGGGGGACAACAGUUGGAAACGACUGCUAAUACCGCAUAACGUGCCCGGAAGGGCAUCCUUUUGGUACCAAAGAUUUAUCGCUGAAAGAUGGGCUCGCGUCUGAUUAGAUAGGUGGUGAGGUAACGGCCCACCAAGUCGACGAUCAGUAGCCGGACUGAGAGGUUGAGUCGGCCACAUUGGGACCUGAGACACGGCCCAGACUCCUACGGAAGGCAGCAG
rnacentral:rRNA from 1 species